AAGCGUCUGCAGGUUCCACGAAAAGUCUGAUGUAAAAGCACUGGAGCUCAACUCCGUGUACGUGUCGGAAACUCUCGUGGUAGAGUCACUCAGAGGUAUCUGGAAUGCCGUGUGUAGGGGUAAAAUCCGUAGAUCCACGGUGGAACGCCUAAAGCGAAAGCAGGAUACUGGGAGUGUACUGACACUCAGAGACGAAAGCGUGGGGAGCAAAGGGGAUUAGAUACCCCCGUAGUCCACGCCCUAAACGAUGCGGGCUCGGUGUAGGAAUUUUCAAUAUUUCCUGUGCCCAAGCUAACGCGGUAAGCCCGCCGCCUGAGAAGUACGGCCGCAAGGCUAAAACUCAAAGGAAUAGACGGGGACCCACACAAGCGGUGGAACAUGGGGUUUAAUUCGAUGGUAAACGGAGAACCUCACCCAGGCUUGACAUCUUUGGAAUCCCGAUGAAAGUUGGGAGUGCCGCAAGGAACCAAAAGACAGGCGCUGCACGGUUGUCGUCAGCUCGUGCCUUGAGGUGUACUGUUAAGUCAGCGAACGAGCGCAACCCUCAUCCUCUGUUGUUUUUUCAGGGGAGACUGCCGCCUCCAAGGCGGAGGAAGGUGGGGAUGACGUCAAAUCAGCGUGGCCUUUAUGCCUGGGGCUACACCCAUGUUACAAUGGACGAUACAGAGGGCAGCGAACCCGCAAGGGGGAGCCAAUCCCAUCAAAGUCGUUCUCAGUUCGGAUUGCCGGCUGCAACUCGCCGGCAUGAAGUUGGAAUCGCUAGUAACCGUAGGUCAGCGAUACUACGGUGAAUAAGUUCCUGGGUCUUGUACUCACCGCCCGUCAACUCAUGGGAGGCAGGGGCACCCGAAAGGACCGUUACCUUUAGUGGGCGGUACCACGGUGACACUGCUGACUGGGAGUAAGUCGUAACAAGGUAA
rnacentral:rRNA from 1 species